AACGAACGCUGGCGGCAGGCCUAACACAUGCAAGUCGAGCGAGGGGUAACCCUAGCGGCGGACGGGUGAGUAACGCGUGGGAACGUACCCUUUGGUUCGGAAUAGCCCUGGGAAACUGGGAGUAAUACCGGAUACGGUCGAGAGACGAAAGAUUUAUCGCCGAAGGAUCGGCCCGCGUUGGAUUAGCUUGUUGGUGAGGUAAUGGCUCACCAAGGCGACGAUCAGUAUCUGGUUUGAGAGGAUGAUCAGACACACUGGAACUGAGACACGGUCCAGACUCCUACGGGAGGCAGCAGUGGGGAAUUUUCCGCAAUGGGCGAAAGCCUGACGGAGCAAUCUCGCGUGAGGGAUGACGGCCUAUGGGUUGUAAACCUCUUUUUCAGGGAGGAACAAAAUGACGUGUACCUGAAGAAUAAGCAUCGGCUAACUCCGUG
rnacentral:rRNA from 1 species